UGAUCUAUGUGUAGAAAAGAUUUAGCCAAUAAUCAAAUUUAAACACACACAAGAAUCCAAAUAGGACAGAUGCCUUUCUGUUGUGAUCUGUGUGGACAAAAAUUUUGCAGCAAAUCUUACUUACACAAACACAUGUAAAUCCAUGCAAUAAAAGACAAGGCAAUUUCAUUUUUAUAGCACAUUUCAGUACAAGGACAAUGCAAAUGAGUCACAUGAUUAAAACUUAGGAAAAUAAAAUUGUACACAAAUAGUUGGAAUAAAAUGUGGGAAAAGUGAAACUAAGAGUGUUAUGCUAUAAUAACAUCAUGAUGAAUAAUUGACCUCAGAUUGAAUUCUGAACAGUGGAAGAGUUUGACAAAGGAACCCAACUUCUGCUGUAAAGGAUACACAGGCACAGAGGGUGGCCUCUCUCUCACUCUCUCUCAGCGGGAGGUCAGCUGUGGCCACUCCCUACAGAUAAAAGUCACAGCACAUCUCUUCAGACUCUCUCUUCUGCUCUUCUCUUCUGCGACCCGCUCAGGCUAUGGGCCCUACACGGGCCUGACCGAUACACAAGCCAUGCUUGACCCAGGGUCCGCUGAACUCAUCUGUUGCUUCAAUGGAAUGACCAAGGGGGAAGCAGAGGACCUGACUGAAUCUGGAUAAACAACACACGAAAUACAUAGCUAAGUCUGCUGUUUAACAUCAUCACCGGUAGCAUGAGCAAAGAUCCUGCAUGCGAAACAGCUCUGUUGUAAUUCUCCUCAGCCUUUACCGGCAGGCGAACCUGAUGGAGCUGAAAGCUAUGAGCUGAGGAAAACCCCUGUUCAAAUUGGACUGCAACCGGGUCAGAGGCUGCCUGGAGGACCUACAGGCCUCCAUUCCCUCCACAUGCUGUGGUUAGCCCACAUGCUGCUGCAGUGCUAACGCUAGCCCGCCAACAACAAUCCCAACAACUUCCCUCCUUUAACGCUCCUUCAGUGAAUGGCCAAACUGGACAGAACUGACACGAGACAAAAGACAGGUUUGGACAGUGAUCCGAGGGAUUAAGGCACAAAAGGAGGACGGCGGAGUCUUGUAAAUUUCGUACAUAGGUUUUUCAUUGAAACAAAAACCUGAGUGAAAAAGAAAACAAAAUAGAGUAAAGCAAAAUAGAGCUAGGUUUUCAUUGAAACAAAAACCUGAGUGAAAAGGACAAAAUAGAAUAAAAUAAGUUCCUACCAGGGGAGCAGGCCCCCGAAACUGUCCGUGGUAAAAGUAGGAUAUUUUACGUCUAUAAAAGAAAGAAGACCUGAGGAAUUCUAGACCCUGUUCAGGCAAGAAAAAAUAGAGCUAAAUAAUUGCUACCAGGGGAGCAGGCCCCCGAAACUGUCUGUGGUAAAAGUAGGAUAUUUUUCGUCUAUACAAAAAGUGGAACUAGUUCAGGUAAACAGGUCUUAAAAGCGUGACUGAGAGUGUGAUUGGGAACAAUAUAACCACUAGGUUCUAUUGCUCCAUACUAAAACAGCAGGAAAAGUACAAUACGACUCUUGUGGAUGCAAAGGCAAGAAUUUCUCACCUGAAAAGGUUGAAGCAGAAAUUACCACAAUAUAUUUUAGUAUUGCCCUACUGAAAAACAAACCCCAGUGUUUAGAACACCCUAGGUCAGUGGUCCCCAAUCCCGGUCCUCGAGGGCUGGUGUCCCUGCAAGUUUUACAUGUGUCCCUGAUCCAACAACAGGACCACUGGCCUAGGUGUUACCACACUGGACCAAAUUGAUUCAAAAUGGGAAAAAAAAACUUGAGCAAAAUAAGAGAAGGAUUAACCGGCAGUGACUGGAAAUUUGUACAAAGUAGAGAUCCUGGCAAAAAUAAAUAUUUAAAUAGGUGUAUUGAGAGAUUUGUAACUAUACUGUCUCUUCCUACUCUCCUCGCGAGCCAAACCAAACUAACUGUCUUUGUGUCUUUCUUUCCCUGUGUUGUCUGAUGUUUUAGGUACUUAGACCUGACAGAUCACUUUAUGCUGUAACCUCUUAGCCACCGAUUUGCUACAGCGACCCCAGACGCCCGGAGGGAGAAUCGCAUUAACAAACUCAGUCGCCCUGAGGAACUGCCCCCCUCAGCAGGGUGCCGUUGCUUUAAAGCCAAGUUUCCACAGACGUUCUCAUUUUCCCGUUGCUCUGUGGGAGCGACAUGGGGAGAAACUUUCCUCCGUCUCUGCAGAGAGGAGGUUCCGACUGGGGUUCGGAGGACUGCUGGUGGGUUGGAAGCUAAGUCCGCAGUCUUUCCACUGCAUAACCAGACGCCAAAGUAAAAGAAUCCAUAUAUGCAGAAACGAGCGUUGCAAUUUUUCUCAGCUGUUGCAGGAAAGUUGACUUGAUACAGCGGAGCGGUCUACCUUCCUGCAGCCAGGCCAAGCUGAGAGCUCAAAGACCCAUGAGAGCAGCUAUGCCUAGGAAGUGAAGUUGAGGCCUGCUUUCCCAGUGCUGCAACCCCCUUUCAUAGAUUGGAACCGGGGCCGCCUUUUAAUGGCUGCGUGCUGCUGAUCAGACAGUCAGCCUUCAUCCUCCCUGCUUCCACAAUUUCCAACUAAUUUGAGUUUGUUUUUAUGGUUAUAACGAACAUUAGUUACACAAGGGUUUAAUACAUUAUUGGGAUAUUGAUGUUUGUUUUCCGGGCUGCUUAAUAUAACCAAAA